GGUAUUGAAGGAAUCAUGUUCAACACCUACCGAGGAGUCACUGCAGUAGAACAUGCAAAACCCUUAUCAGGUUAAAAUAAAGGGAGUAAUAAAGCAGGAUCAUACCCUGAAUUAAUGGAUCCACCAUUACCGGUAGGCUCAUUGACAAACGUAGGAUAAAAAUUGUGCACGACAUUAGUAAAACGGAUCCUCCAACCCUGGGAUUUACAAUCCAUAAUUGAUUUAAUUUGUAUGACAAUAUUGAACAAUGCCCUCGAACAGGGAGUGAAAGAAUCUGCUGCUUCACAAUUGGUAUUAGGCUCUGAUUUUCAUAUUCGUCAACUGCUUGUAAAAUCAAGGUAUUUGAACUACACAAUAUUCCUACCCACAUGAACAGGCUAAAGCAUUAUUUCCAUCCCACAUAAACACACAAAUCAUAUUAAUAUAUAGCCUGCAAACCCACAAAAGGGCACAGACAAGCACAAUGAUCCCCGAUUCCCUUAAGCUACAAGACCGAUCAUAGACCGUGCAUUUAUAACUUUUUUUUUUUUUGGUUCUAAUUAAAAAAAUUAAGUGAUCAGGUGAAGCAUAAUAUAGAAGGAAGAUAGAAUGAAAGAAAGAAGGAAAGAAAGAAUUGGACCUGGGCAUCAUUCCAUCAGGUUGAAUUCCAUGUUCAAGGCAGUACAGCUCCCAGCAAGAAUUCCCAAGCUGGAUACCUGCUUGUCCUAUGUGUAUGCUUAUCACCUCCCUCAUUUUCCUCUCUGUGUAGUCAAACAAAUGUGUGUCUAUGAAACCUAAAAUAUAUCAGCUAUAUAGAUCCAAUUUCUCUCUCCCUCUGUGAAAGUUUUUCUUUUUAUCAGGAGAAGAGAAGGAGAAAGAGAGAGAGCGGUUAUUAGAAGACGAUUCCGAUUUUGACCGAUUUUAAUCUGAUUUUAAUCGAAUCAAUUUUAAUUUAGUUUCAGCUCAAAAUCGAACCGUGAUGACCCCUAAC
rnacentral:misc_RNA from 1 species